CCGGAGGCCGAGAACAACAGCCGGGACGGAGCGGCUCGGGCAGAGCCGGGUCCCUCCAGCCCUGAAGGGGCCCGUCACAGCCGCGGGCCCAGGACCCAGGACACCCGCCCGUCUCCCAGGCUGGACCCGCGCCAGGUCCGUCCCCAGGUGGAAGGAGGGGGGUCCCCUCCCCAAGAAGGACCCAGGAUGUGUCUCGGGGCGGGAUUUUGGGGGGAAGGAAAGCCUCUCUGUGUUCCUGAGUGUGACCCAGACCAAGGUGACGGCAUUUCCCAGGUUCCAGGCACAGAAAACACCAAUGGCUGUCCUGCCGGGUCACACUUCCAGGUGGCGGGUGACGCUCACGGUGACGAAGAUAACCUCUCCUUCGCUCAGGGAGGUCGCGGGAGGAGGGCAGCGGGCACCUGUAUGGCGGCUUCUCAGCAGCUCUCCUGAGGGACAGUGUGACACCUUCGCUCGCUUAAGCGCACGGUGACGUCCGUCUGUCUGCCCUGCGCUCCCGCUGCCACGGAGGGUUCUGGAACAUUUUUGUUGCCCCAACAGAAAGCCCACCCCAGCCACCACCCACCAGGACGGUGGCUUUUACAUUUUUAAUAGAUGAAAACUA